rnacentral:rRNA from 1 species
GAUGAACGCUGACAGAAUGCUUAACACAUGCAAGUAAACUGUGGAGGACGGGUGAGUAACGCGUAUAGAAAUUGCCUCACAGUUAGGGUCAACAUUUGGAAACGAAUGCUAAUACCUGAUACUGUGAGAGAGCUUUGCGUCCCAUUAGCUAGUUGGAGAGGUAACGGCUCACCAAGGCGAUGAUGGGUAGCCGGCCGGAGAGGGUGAUCGGCCACAAGGGGACUGAGACACCGCCCUUACUCCGACGGGAGGCAGCAGUGGGGAAUAUUGGACCAUGGACCAAAGUCUGAUCCAGAAGUUCUGUGUGCACGAUGAAGUUUUCUGAAUGUAAAGUGCUUUCAGUUGGGAAGCGGUGCCAACAGAAGAAGUGACGGCUAAAUACGUGCCAGCAGCCGCGGUAAUAC